CCUACGGGAGGCAGCAGUAGGGAAUCUUCCGCAAUGGACGAAAGUCUGACGGAGCAACGCCGCGUGAACGAUGAAGGCCUUCGGGUCGUAAAGUUCUGUUGUUAGGGAAGAACAAGUGCUAGUUAAAUAAGCUGGCACCUUGACGGUACCUAACCAGAAAGCCACGGCUAACUACGUGCCAGCAGCCGCGGUAAUACGUAGGUGGCAAGCGUUGUCCGGAAUUAUUGGGCGUAAAGCGCGCGCAGGCGGUUUCUUAAGUCUGAUGUGAAAGCCCCCGGCUCAACCGGGGAGGGUCAUUGGAAACUGGGAAACUUGAGUGCAGAAGAGGAAAGUGGAAUUCCAAGUGUAGCGGUGAAAUGCGUAGAGAUUUGGAGGAACACCAGUGGCGAAGGCGACUUUCUGGUCUGUAACUGACGCUGAGGCGCGAAAGCGUGGGGAGCAAACAGGAUUAGAUACCCUGGUAGUCCACGCUGUAAACGAUGAGUGCUAAGUGUUAGAGGGUUUCCGCCCUUUAGUGCUGAAGUUAACGCAUUAAGCACUCCGCCUGGGGAGUACGGUCGCAAGCUGAAACUCAAAGGAUUGACGGCUGNGAGNGCGACGCGACACGAGGGAGAGG
rnacentral:rRNA from 1 species